GUUCCUGGACUGUACAGUCUAUUAGGAGGGUGCAGUGGGGUGGGGAAAAAGCCAGCGAGAUAGGGCUGGGUAAGCUGGCAGCCUGGGGUUCUCAUACCAACCAACAGCAGAGACCAAAAUAAUUGCCUUAAGAACUUCCCAAGUUAGCCCCUGCUCACCCAAAUGGCUGCCACAGGAUUCAAAAAGGCGACAGGCUCCGGGCGAUGAGCUCAAGUUGGCAAGAGAUGAGCCUUUAGCAGAUGCUAGAAGUCAGAAUCUCAGAUGCUGGAGCCACCAACGGAAGCAAAGCAAAGAAAAACUGUACCCUUCACGGUGCCUGUCAGCGUUGGGCAGAAGGCUGAGAAGGAAGGGCUGGCUGUACGUCUUGGGAUGGGGGUCCAAACCCCUUUCAGCCACUGUCUGCAGUGUCCGCAGCCUCCACCCCUGGUCUGCUUCCUCCGAACCUGGUGUAUUUGUGCUGUUAUAACUAAAUACCUGAGACUGAAUAAUCUAUAAUAAAAAGUUAUUUUUCAAA
rnacentral:lncRNA from 1 species